GCCGCGGUAGCUCAGUUGGUAGAGCACGUCCAUGGUAAGGACGGGGUCACCGGUUCAAUUCCGGUUCGCGGCU
rnacentral:tRNA from 1 species